AGGGAUUUUUUUUUUUUUUUUAGUAAGUGGCAGUGGUGAUGUGGCUGAAGAAUUGUGGGGGACAAGGAAGAAUAGUUCAGAACUUCGCCUGGACUGGGAGGGUGGGAGGAUCUGAGAGGGAGGAACAAAAGUGGUUUUGUUUGCUGAUGCCGAGUUGACUGGGCAGCCUCGGAAACCCUCACCCGGGAAGACAGCGAGCUGUUUGCUUGUUUACAGAGAAGGUGAGAGUCAAGUUAUCUAUUGAGAGUCGAGCGUGGAGGGGGAGUGUGUCGCCGAGCCAGAAAUCUAUUUGUGGACUACAACGAGGCAUAUUCGGAUCAAGUCCCAAAGCUUUGGCAUGGUGUUUAUUAGCCAAGUUAAGUGUAUUGCAAAUUAAUACCCGCAAUGGCAUUUAUGAAUGAGAAGGGAGGGGGGAUCAGCUUCCCCCUUCGUCUGGCAACUUCCUAGGCAGAGGUCUUCCCCCCCACCCCCACCCUCUUUUGGUAUGUUGUACUUGUUUGUUUUUGGAGGUUCCCACAUUAGUUCCAGCCCACUGCCUGGGUUGGAAGUCCGAAAGGAAACGAACGCCGGGAGCUCUCCGGGAGGCUGACUUGUACUUCCUCGCGGAUGUGAGAGGCCGGGUAAGCCCUCCCAUCCUCCCUCCGCGGGCAAGAGGCAAUGCUAACUAAGCACCCCGCCUGAAGCGGAGGGGACCACAGUGAAGUGAUUUGAAACGAAAUCACCUCCAUAUACUGCAAGGCCAAACCAGAUCACAGCACCGUUGUGCCAAAUGUGUCCCUGGAAAAAGCAGAUUCCUUAAAGCUGAAACAUUUUUGUGAGGUUUUAAACUUCUUUCCUUCGGACCUCUUGGAAGCCUCUCAUUUCAAAUGAAUUGCAGUGCUCUUCUGUCCAAGUACAGAGAAAUAAGAGAUUCGGGGUAUAAUAUUCCCUGAACAUGUUAGCAGAUUUUAAUGUCCUAUUCUACCUGCAACACACUCAGAAGACCCCCUUCAAGCCAAUUUACUUGAACAUCACCAAUAUCGUUAGUGUGAUUGAUAAAUACCUUUAAAAAUUUCAAAAACUAUCUUUUUGCAUAAUUUUAAUAAAAAAGUAAACAAGGAAUUAUUCCAGACUCCCUUUUAUAUAUGCUCUAGGAGAAUUGGAAAGCCUCGUGGUGUAAUGGUUAAGAUGUAUGACUGCCAAAAGGUUGCCAGUUCAAAUCCACCUGGCACUCCUUGGAAAUCGUAUGGGGCCUGUCCUAUAGGGUCGCUAUGAGUCUGAAUUGACUCCAUGGCAGUGGGUUUGGUUUUGGUUUCUAGGAGAAUUACUCAUUCUUUGUAAGGUAUAGGGCUGUUCAGCCUUCAUAAUUUAGUAGCCUUGUUUGAGAAAGCCUUCAGGGCUGACUUUAUUUGUGAAUGACCCUGGUAAACACAAUGAGAAGGUAUUGGAAUGAUAACACUCUCCGAUGAGGGGAACUGUUGCAGGAAAGGGUUAAGUUUCAUUCAUUCGAAAGUGCCGUUUUCUUCCAGGAGGAAGGAGUAGGAUCUCUAAGGCUUAUUUGGAAGGGGUUUGGACAAAGGACUUAACUUUUCGAGACAAUGGACUGUCAAGUGCUAUGCAAAUUAAGGAAAGUCUGGGCCCAACACCAAACCCAGGCCAAUUUGUCAAUUAUUAUUUAGAAGAAUGCCCCCCCCUUAGAGUUUCAUUAUUGUUUCCUUCUUAAUGAAGGAGGCGGGUGGUGAGGCAGAGUAGGAACAGUACAGGGUGGGAGGAGGUGGUGGAUAGAGAGCGGAGAAGAGCGUUCCUGGCUUCUGUUGUGGCCUCUUUUCUAUUUGACUUCAUGGUUGUAAGUAUUUCCAGAUGGUGAAUCAGACACCAGACGUAACAAUAUUUCCAUAUUUGGGUAUAGCAGUAGCCUGCGUUUUUAACAUUUUUCUGCCUCUGUUAUCCAACCACAAAGCAUUCUUGACAGCUUAAAAUGUUAACUAUAGACUUAACUUCUGUUCCCAGAGCAGGAAAUUCUUUGGAAUUCCUUGUUUUUCACGCAAUCUGUCUGUCGUGGUUUAAAAUAAAAUUGUAGUGGAUGAUCCAACUGGCCAUAUAUAGCUUGUUUCUUUAUGGUGGGGGGCGGGGAGAGGGGAGAAGCAAAGAGAUUCAGUCUGCUGCACAGCAUUCAAACACACGCCAUUCCAGAGAUUCCUUUAAAAAUCAGAUUAAAGUUUUCGAACAAGGGUGUGUGGGUUUGUUUCCUGACUCCAACUGGGGAAUCUUGGAGGAUGAGUUUGCCCCAGAAGAGAAACUUAGAGAAUUGCCCAUGUAAAGCAGGAGGUGGGUGUGGGGGGGGGGGGUGCUGCUGGAACCACAGGGCCAGGAGGUGGAGAAGCCGGAGCAACUGAAGUAACCUAUGUGCACAGCCUUUCCAUAUACAAUGUCCUGGUGCUCCUGCUAGUAAACUACAGCAGCAGGCGAGAGAACAGCGGCUCCUCACAUCCUGCCCAGGGACUGUCCAGAAACCUCAGACGUCCCGUCGCCUUUUCGCCUCCUGCGCUGAGAGCGGCAGAUCGGUUCACGUUGACGGAUUGGAGGGGAAAUGUGCAAAUGUCUAUGGAGUUUUAUGGAUGUCAUCCCAUUGCCUGCUUGCCUGCAUUGUCUCUGCUGAGAAAUCAGAGUUUAGUCUUAUUGGAGUCAUUUUGUAGGUAAUAUUCCAUUUUUCCUGAGCUGCUGUCAGAAUUCCUUAUUUUCGAACUUGUUGUAAGCUACAGUGUGUGACUCCUGUCUGAUAACCAGGGCUUUGAACUGGUUCAAUCAUAGCUGACAAAGUGAAACCAGAACUGACCAGAAUUUUUAGAAUUGGGUGAUCCAGAAUGAUAACCAGAACAGGAAAAAUUAUGAGUCAUAGCCCUGGAAUGGAAGACUCAGAAGAGGUGUAGUGAGUCCUUUCAGGAGACUGAUGCAUGAGAGUGGAUCAUUGGCAUGAUUGUGAAGAGUGACACAUAUUCAAAGUGGCACAGUCAGCCAGCAUCUUUGAGUGGGGCAUUGCUGUUUCCGACUCUGCUAAAAAUCCAGCAGCUUCCUAGCUCUCAAGGAAAGUGGAGACUGUAUUUACAGAGCUUCCACUGACAUCUGUCAUUCUGCAGUCCCUGGAGAGAUGUAAUCCACACUGCAGCCUGUGAUCUUCAUCAGUAAGUGCUUCAAGUCCUCUUCACGUUCAGCAGGCAAGGCUGUGUUACCUGCAUAAGCAACAUCAUGAUAAACAGAGAAAAUACUGAAGUUGUAAAAGAUUUCGUUUUACUCGAAUCCACAGUCAACACCCAUGGAAGCAACAGUCAAGAAAUCAAUGAUGUAUUGCAUUGGGCAAAUCUGCUGCAAAAGACCUCUUUAAAGUGUUGAAAAGCAAACAGGUCAUCUUGAGGACUAAGGUGUGCCUGACCAAGCCAUGGUGUUUUCAAUUGCCUCAUAUGCAUAUGAAAGCUGGACAAGGAAUAAGGAAGACUGAAGAGGAAUUGAUGCGUUUGAAUCAUGGCAUUGGCAAAGAAUAUUGAAUAUAACAUGGACUGCCAGAAGAACACACAAACCUGUCUUGGAAGAAGUACAGCUGGAAUGCUGCGUAGAAGCAAGGAUUAUGAGAUUUCGUCUCAUGUACUUUGGACAUGUUAUCAGGAGGAAUGAGUCACUGGAGAAGGGCAUCAUGCUUGGUAAAGUGAAGGGUCGGUGAAGAAGAGGAAGCCCCUCAAUGAGAUGGAUUGACACAGUGGCUGCCAGUGGCAUCACUAGGGUUGGUGUCACCCAAUGCAGUAACUCAUGGUGUCAUUCCCCCUCCCAUGGACCUCCUCCUAUACAAGACCAUACAGAAUCCUUAGUACUAAUAUUAUUGUAAUAUUAGUAAUAUUAAUAUUUUCAUAAUAAUGUUACUCGUAAAUCGUAAUUCUUGCACAUUGCUCCUUCUUUUCCUUCAAUUACUAUGUCAUUCUCAAAAAAGCUACUGAUAUACAUUCACAAAUACUAAUUACCACAAUAUUGUAGCUAAAACACCAGAAAAUUUGACAAAAUCAAUGACCAUAAAAGCACUGGCAGCAACAAAAACAACAGCGCAUGCUUGUAGCAUGUGCAGAUGAAACCACAUGAUUCAAAAUGUCAUUUUAAUUGGGUAAUAAUGACAGCUCUGACUGGAGUGCAUUAGAAACUUCAAAAAAUAAAUUAGCACAGAGUUUUAGCCUUGUAGGUAUAUUGGUACAUAUAAGCUGGACUUAAAAUGUUUUUGUUGUUAUAACUAACUACAGGGAUAUUUUUAUAGACAUCAUUUUGGUGUCACCCUCUCUGACAGUGUUACCCAGUGUGGUCUAUACCUCCACACCCCCCUAGUGAUGUCACUCACUGGUGGUUGCAGCAAUGGGCUCAAACAUAGAAAUUAUUUUGAGGAUGGCACAGGACCGGCCAGUGUUUUUGUUCUGUUGUACGUAGGGUUGCCAUGAGUCAGAACCAACUCGACGGCACCUAACAGCAACAACACAGUUUUGAUACCAUUUCUUAGAAGGUUUGAGAAUUUAAAAAAGUAGAAGACCUGGAAUAUUUCUCCAGGGUUUUAGUUGUUUUGCAGCCAUCAUUAUGAAGGUUCCCAAGAUUUGCCCCCCUUCAGGAAACACUGUCUUAAUUAAAUAAUUAAGUCUUUUUAAAAACUGUCAGCAGUUGCCCUGUGGGAUGUUUCUAUAAUUGUCUCUUCACUAAUAAACUAAAGGGCUAACUAUGCCGUCUUGUUUGUUCCUAAUAUACUGUUUUAACUAUUUAAUUCAUGAACUGCUUAUUGGAUAGCUUGUGUGUCUCUCUUUGUCUGUUGUUAUCGUCCAAAAGUGUAAGGUCCUAGAUGACAAGACUCGAAUAUCCUUAAUUUAUUUGCUAUGGAGCCUACACAGCAUUAUAUGGAAUUAAACAGAUAAUAAAUAUUUUCAGGAAGUUAUAGUAGGGUAGUAAAAGGUAAAUUUAACACUAAAAAAGAAACUCUUUGAAGACCUGUUUGUGCUAUUGCUAGUACACAGUAACCUGUAUCAGUUGCAAUGAAGGGUUUGGUAUUAUGUGAAAACAGUGAUGAAAAUGUUUAGAAUAGCAAACUCCCAGUGACUCAUAAGGUACGUGUGUCCCUUAAAUUGCUCACCUGCUGUUGCGUUACAACCAUAUGUCUUCUUUUAUGACUCCAACCAGAGGCUGAAAGGAAUAAAAUAAAAACCAACCCAGUUUCUCUGGAGUUGAUUCCAACCCAUGGCGACCCCACAUACGUCAAAGUAGAAUUGUGCUCCUUAGGGUUUUCAAUGGCUGAUUUCUUGGCAGUAGAUCACCAGGCCUUCCUUCUGAGGUGGGCUGAAACCACCAACUUUUUGGUUAGCAACCAAGCUUGUUAACCACUUUCACCACCCAGGGACUCCUGAAAAGGAUAUGGGAGAACAAAUCAGCCAAUUUUCUAAAUAUUGGUAGUUCUGGUAAAAGGGUCACUGAGAGGGAAGGUGAUAAUGAUUGCUAAACCUUUAUUUUUAGGGAUGAUUGUGCACUUUAUAUCUUGAUGGUCAAUUUGCAUCAAUAAAUGAACUUUCAUUAAAUGCAUUGUUUAUGCAACCAUGGAGAAAUUCUUUUUUCUGGCGAAAGAUCUAUAUGAUAUGGGUAACUGGGGGAAGAUCUUGUAUCCCUGUGAGAAAAUUAAAAGGUUCAUCACGGUAGAUGAGCAGAGUUCAAAGGAGCAAGCCUUAAAGACCAAGCGCAGCUUCCUAGAACUGAAGAAUUUAACCUUUGUUCUAGUCUGCUCAUCUGUCAGCCUCCUCAGCAGGAAAGCUGUCAAGAUUGACUUCAGAUGAAUCAUCCUUGGCAAGAUUUUUUCCCCAAAAACUGUUUAUCUGUUACUUCAUGGAAAUUGCUACUUGUUCUCAGUGGUAUGCAAUAUUAGUUCAGACAUUGCACAAAAUUCAUUGUAUCACAGGAAUGGAAAUAUAUAUUAAAUAUAAUAUACAUUAUAUACUAUAUGUGUGAAAUAUACAUCGUAAACAUUAUAUGUGUGUGUAUGCAGACACACUCACAUAUGAUUCGUCCUGAACUGGCUGUGUAUCAGUAAACUCAGCAUUUUUACCGCUAAGGUCUGAAACCAGACCCUUUUGGCCACUUAGCCUCCAGUGUUCUUCUAAGAGAGAUUAGGAAAAGUUUGGCCUAGAGACAAACUUUAAAAAAAGUGCUGAAAAGCCCAUUUUUGUUAAUUAAUACUACUUCUAAUUAGAAGACCCACGUAUUUUCUUGACAUUUUCAAAAUAUUUAGAAAGGAUGUUUCUGAUAACACUUCUCUCUCCUUCAAAACAGCCACAAACCUCCUAAGCACAUCUGUCUUCAGGACACAGAAUUGGAGCAUUUUUACUCAUAAAGUGCAUAUCUGUGGUCAAAUAUGAUCACAUGCUGUAACAUGAAUUCAAAUCGGUUUUAUGAUUCUUACAAUAAAAGCAAGUGUUAGCCUUAAUGAACUAGUGAGCUGAGGGAUAGAUAACAAUGCACAUUCCACAGCCUCUGGUACUCUGUCCCCCCACUUCUCACGCAAAUCCAGAAUCCCUCAUCCUCUAGCCAGAAAUCCAGAGGGUUCUGAAAAGCCACAAUUAUUGGUAUUGAAUUUGGUGGCCCAAAUUGAUGUGAAGUUUUGUAGUCCUCAUUCAUCUCACUUAAUCUUUUUUUUUAUAGCUGCUGCCUUGUAUACAUGUAAGACUGGGGUGUUGUGUAAACAAAUGGAGUCAGCACAUUACCUUUCUAAAAUCCAAAAGUCUAAAUUUUGAAACAUAUCUGACAUCAAAGGUUUUAAAUAAAGAACUGUGAACUGUAUCUUUCCUUAAAAUAUUGAAGACUUCAAAAAAAUCAAUGGAGGCAAUAGCAUAUUAAAUCUAGUUCUUGUAACAACUUGUAACUUUGUAUGUAACUAUCUGUAUCAUAAGAAGCCCUGGUGGUGCAGUGGUUAAGCACUCAAUGCUAAUCGAAAGGUUGGUGAUUCAAACCCACCAGCCACUCCAUCGGAGAAAGAAGUAGCAGUCAGCUUGCAUAAAGAUUACAGCCUUGGAAAACCUAUGGGGCAAUUCUACCCUGUCCUAUAGGGCAGCUACAAGUCAGAAUUGAUUCAAUGGUACACAACAACAACAUCUGUAUUAUAACACUUUUCAUAACAUAGUAAUUUUUUUUUUCAAUCUAGUAUCUUCUGGAGUAGACUGAGAACUCUUCUGCAGAGAAAUUGUAUUUUAAAAGUAAUAGUUACUGUUUGUUUUCUGAUUAUAACACAAGUACAUGUUCCUUGAAGAAAAUUUGGAAAACACAUAAAAGUUUGAAGAAGAAAAUAGAAGUUGCAUGUAAUCCCAUUUCUCAAAAAUAACUAAUUACUACUAUGUUUCAUUAAGUCUUAGUUCUAUGCAUGUUUUUCAAGUAAAACCAAGAUCAUACUGAAAAUGUUAUAUUCAAAGUCAAGGCUACAGAGUGCCCCACAGGCAUGGAGGCACCAUGAUUUAUUUAACCACUCUAAUUGUAGGGCCUCUGCUUGUUCCCAAUUGUUGGCAUUACAAAUGAUAACAGAAUUCAUGUCUUAAUCAGAUUAUUAGCCACAGUACUAGCAUACUUAAUCAUUCAGUAAAAAUGUAUUGAAUUAAUUAAAGUUAUUUUCAUCUACUAAGAUCUUAUCUAUAAUAAAUAUGUUAGCUUUAAUUAGACAUUUAGCAGGAAUCUGGAAAAAUGGACCAGAGAUCAAAUACAUUUUGGUUAUGGAAGGGAGCAGGGUAAGCCUGGGCUGAGAGGCAACACAGGGAUACCAAAAAACCAAGCCUGCUACUGUGGAGUCAAUUUUGACUCAUGGCAACCCAUGUGUCAUAGAGUAGAGCUGCUCCAUAGGGUUUUCUUGUCUAUAAUUUUCAUGAAAUCAAAGCCCAGGCCUUUCUUUUGCGGCACUGGUGGGUGGAUUUGAACUGCCAACCUUUUGGUAAGUAGUAGAGCACAAACUGCUUGGGCUACCCAGGGACUUUAACACAAGUAUGGGAGUUGCCAACAGUGUGUUGGGGGGGUGUAUAGAAGUAUUUCUAAGAUAAAUUUUGACUACGUAACAGUUUUCCCUACAGAUAGAGGUGCUGACUAUCCACAAUGAUUUAGCUCUCCUACUCUUCUGAAGAAAUAGCUGUGCUUUGUCACGGGUUCAGUUUCCUGUGAAAAUUGCUCAAAUUGUUCCUAUGAGAACAGACAUGUGCUCUUUGAAUUUAAUUGAGUGUCUGCUUUAGAACAAUGUGACGAGGAAAUGCUAUCUCUUUAGAUUCCAGGAUGUGUUAAAAUGGACAUAGUCAUUUCUGGAAAUUCCCAGAUCAGAUUUAUGUGAACUCUUCCAAGAAAUAUGAUUAGCUCAGCCCAACAGGACUCUUACCCCAAGCAGAGCCAAGCAGAUGAAGCUGGAAGCACCAUUUUCACCCUAAAGGGAUGAAAA